rnacentral:rRNA from 1 species
GUGGGGAAUUUUGGACAAUGGGCGAAAGCCUGAUCCAGCAAUGCCGCGUGCAGGAUGAAGGCCCUCGGGUUGUAAACUGCUUUUGUACGGAACGAAAAGCCUGGGGCUAAUAUCCCCGGGUCAUGACGGUACCGUAAGAAUAAGCACCGGCUAACUACGUGCCAGCAGCCGCGGUAAUACGUAGGGUGCAAGCGGUAAUCGGAAUUACUGGGCGUAAAGCGUGCGCAGGCGGUUAUAUAAGACAGAUGUGAAAUCCCCGGGCUCAACCUGGGAACUGCAUUUGUGACUGUAUAGCUAGAGUACGGUAGAGGGGGAUGGAAUUCCGCGUGUAGCAGUGAAAUGCGUAGAUAUGCGGAGGAACACCGAUGGCGAAGGCAAUCCCCUGGACCUGUACUGACGCUCAUGCACGAAAGCGUGGGGAGCAAACAGGAUUAGAAACCCUGGUAGUCC